AGGACGAACGCUGGCGGCGUGCUUAACACAUGCAAGUCGAGCGGUAAGGCCUCUUCGGGGGUACACGAGCGGCGAACGGGUGAGUAACACGUGGGCGACCUGCCCUCAGCUCUGGGAUAAGCCUGGGAAACUGGGUCUAAUACCGGAUAUGACCUUCUCUCGCAUGGGGGUUGGUGGAAAGUCCUGGGCUUUUGUCUGGGUUCGGCUGGGGAUGGGCCCGCGGCCUAUCAGCUUGUUGGUGGGUGAUGGCCUACCAAGGCGACGACGGGUA
rnacentral:rRNA from 1 species